AUUGAACGCUGGCGGCAUGCCUUACACAUGCAAGUCGAACGGCAGCAUGGAGAGCUUGCUCUCUGAUGGCGAGUGGCGAACGGGUGAGUAAUGCAUCGGAACGUACCGCGUAAUGGGGGAUAACGUAGCGAAAGUUACGCUAAUACCGCAUACGACCUGAGGGUGAAAGCAGGGGAUCGCAAGACCUUGCGUUAUACGAGCGGCCGAUGUCAGAUUAGCUAGUUGGUGAGGUAAAGGCUCACCAAGGCGACGAUCUGUAGCGGGUCUGAGAGGAUGAUCCGCCACACUGGGACUGAGACACGGCCCAGACUCCUACGGGAGGCAGCAGUGGGGAAUUUUGGACAAUGGGGGCAACCCUGAUCCGGCCAUGCCGCGUGAGUGAAGAAGGCCUUCGGGUUGUAAAACUCUUUCGGCCGGGAAGAAAUCGCACAGGCUAAUACUCUGUGUGGAUGACGGUACCGGCAUAAGAAGCACCGGCUAACUACGUGCCAGCAGCCGCCGUAA
rnacentral:rRNA from 1 species